rnacentral:misc_RNA from 1 species
AAGUCGUAACAAGGUUUCCGUAGGUGAACCUGCGGAAGGAUCAUUAACACGUUUUACCAAAAACGUUUCCAAACAAUUUACCAACCAAACGUGAAUUAACUGUAGGUGCACUACAGUGCAUUAAAAUUGAGCUGAACUUGGCCAAAGAUGAAAGGAAUGGUUGUCAUGACUGCUCCUUUCCAUUCUGGGUUAUCCCAAACGCAGAGGUGGGUGCUGCGGAUCCAGAAUGCUCUUUGUUUUUAAUGCAUGCACCGAUCAUUAUUUUUUUUUCCCCAUCACUUAUUUUUAACUCAAUCACUUCUUGUGAUUUUUUUGAAAUCAUUCCUUUUUCUGGGACGUCUUGUCUCAGUUUUUGUUUGGCGAAAUCUCUGAUUUUGCUUCUAAAACAAAAUUUACUCAAACGUUGAACAACUCUUAGCAACGGAUAUCUUGGUUCCC